GGAGAUUUAGCUCAGUGGUAGAGCACUUGCCUAGGAAGCAUGAAGCCCUGGGUUCAGUCUUCA
rfam:Fukomys damarensis contig94354, whole genome shotgun sequence.